ACCAGUGAGAGGGAGGGGGUGACACAGUGAGGGAGGUGGUGACUAGUGACAGAGUGAGGGAGGUGGUGACUGUCACUAGUCACUAGUCACCACCUCCCUCACUCUGUCCCUAGUCACCCCUCCCUCUGUCA